CUACCAUGCUCCCAGUAUUAAGCUAACAACCCAGCUUGCGGUCACUGCUACUCGUUCCAGGCAUAUUCUGAAGCAUUAAGAAAAAAAGAUGGCAACCUCCUCCACAACCUUGACUGUAUGGAUAGUUGGAGACAGCUGUGUCCGGCAUGCAGCCAUGAGAGCUACAGAGAUCAUCGGCAGCAACCUUUGCCUCGACCUGCGCGUCUGCUGGUUCGGUUGGGGUGGACUGCGCUGGAGAUUUCACCCCUAGGGGAAAUGAUAUUUUUUUAAAGUCACUAGCCAAUUGCCUGAAAGACCAUCUCCAAAAACUGUGAACUGCUAAAAUGUCAGUAUCACUGUUUUUGGAUUUGGCCUUUAGAGUAUGUAUUCUAAGGCCCUUGCUAAGCCCAGACUGUCAUGGCAAAUGUUGAGUUAGAUAUUACAUCUGUAGCCAUAACACUGUUAACAUGGCUGCUCUUCCUAACUAAAAAGCAUGGACACAAGACAUGGACAAAAAAUAAAUAAAAAUG